rnacentral:rRNA from 1 species
UACAGAGGUCUCAAGCGUUGUUCGGAUUCAUUGGGCGUAAAGGGUGCGUAGGCGGCGCGGUAAGUCGGGUGUGAAAUCUCGGAGCUUAACUCCGAAACUGCAUUCGAUACUGCCGUGCUUGAGGACUGGAGAGGAGACUGGAAUUCCUGGUGUAGCGGUGAAAUGCGCAGAUAUCAGGAGGAACACCGGUGGCGAAGGCGGUUCUCUGGGCAUGUCCUGACGCUGAGGAGCGAAAGUGUGGGGAGCGAACAGG